rnacentral:rRNA from 1 species
AUUGAACGCUGGCGGAAUGCCUUACACAUGCAAGUCGAACGGCAGCACGGACUUCGGUCUGGUGGCGAGUGGCGAACGGGUGAGUAAUGUAUCGGAACGUGCCCAGUCGUGGGGGAUAACGUAGUGAAAAUUACGCUAAUACCGCAUACGAUCUAUGGAUGAAAGCGGGGGAUCGCAAGACCUCGCGCGAUUGGAGCGGCCGAUAUCAGAUUAGGUAGUUGGUGGGGUAAAGGCCCACCAAGCCAACGAUCUGUAGCUGGUCUGAGAGGACGGCCAGCCACACUGGAAAUGUGACACGGUCCAGACUCCUACGGGAGGCAGCAGUGGGGAAUUUUGGACAAUGGGCGAAAGCCUGAUCCAGCCAUUCCGCGUGCAGGAUGAAGACCCUCGGGUUGUAAACUGCUUUUGUACAGAACGAAAAGGUUUCUACUAAUACUAGGAGCUCAUGACGGUACUGUAAGAAGAAGCACCGGCUAACUACGUGCCAGCAGCCGCAGUAA